UACGUAGGGACCAAGCGUUGUUCGGAUUUACUGGGCGUAAAGGGCGCGUAGGCGGCUUGACAAGUCACUUGUGAAAUCUCCGGGCUUAACUCGGAACGGCCAAGUGAAACUGUCAUGCUAGAGUGCAGAAGGGGCAAUCGGAAUUCUUGGUGUAGCGGUGAAAUGCGUAGAUAUGUGGAGGAACACCGAUGGCGAAGGCAGCCCCCUGGGUCAAGAUUGACGCUCAUGCACGAAAGCGUGGGGAGCAAACAGG
rnacentral:rRNA from 1 species